CCUACGGGAGGCAGCAGUUUCGAAUCAUUCACAAUGGGCGAAAGCCUGAUGGUGCGACGCCGCGUGAGGGAUGAAGGUCUUCGGAUUGUAAACCUCUGUCACCGGGGACGAAAAGUCUUAAAUAAACAGUUUAAGGCCUGACUUAACCCGGAGAGGAAGCAGUGGCUAACUCUGUGCCAGCAGCCGCGGUAAUACAGAGACUGCAAGCGUUAUUCGGAUUCACUGGGCGUAAAGGGUGCGCAGGCGGCUAAAUGUGUGGAGUGUGAAAGCUCGAAGCUUAACUUCGAAACAGCACCCCAAACUAUUUAGCUAGAGCAUUGGAGAGAGUAGCAGAAUUCACGGUGUAGCAGUGAAAUGCGUAGAUAUCGUGAGGAAUACCAGAGGCGAAGGCGGCUACUUGGACAAUUGCUGACGCUCAGGCACGAAAGCGUGGGGAGCAAAAGGGAUUAGAUACCCCUGUAGUCCACGCCCUAAACGGUGCAUACUAGGUCUCGACGGAUUCGAUCCCGUCUGGGUCUCGNGCGACGACGUUAGUAGUGUCCGCCGUGAGGACGUACCGGCCGGCCGAACGGACGUUAAACCGUUACCGAAGUUAGAGUUAGACGGCGUUGAGACGUUCGCCGACGGACGACCGACCGAGGGGAGGUAGG
rnacentral:rRNA from 1 species